rnacentral:rRNA from 1 species
AUUGAACGCUGGCGGCAGGCCUAACACAUGCAAGUCGAACGAGUGGCGGACGGGUGAGUAAUGUCUGGGAAACUGCCCGAUGGAGGGGAAUAACUACUGGAAACGGUAGCUACUACUGCAUACCAUCGAGUGUGCCUCGAUGGGAUUAGCUAGUAGGUGGGGUAACGGCUUACCUAGGCGACGAUCCCUAGCUGGUCUGAGAGGAUGACCAGCCACACUGGAACUGAGACACGGUCCAGACUCCUACGGGAGGCAGCAGUGGGGAAUAUUGCACAAUGGGCGCAAGCCUGAUGCAGCCAUGCCGCGUGUAUGAAGAAGGCCUUCGGGUUGUAAAGUACUUUCAGCGAGGAGGCGUUACUCGCAGAAGAAGCACCGGCUAACUCCGUGCCAGCAGCCGCGGUAAUUC